rnacentral:lncRNA from 1 species
UGCGCAAUUUCCUUUUUCUUUAAAAAAACUCAGCGUAAAGAAAAAAAAGAAAAGAAGAAAAAACUCCCGUCUCGUCUCCGCUCCAGCGAGUUCGCCCACCGCCUGCGCCGAUUUCCAUCUCCCGAGCGAGCAGAGCAGGAGCAGGAGCAGGGGCGCCGUCGUCCUGCUGCUUCAGCCACAUCCCGGUUGUUGUGUCUCGGUAUCAGUAGUGAUGGGGAAGAAUGUGAAGGUGAAGGCCAAGAACCUUGGGAUUCAGCUUUCCGAAUGGGCGGUUUAAUGGCUCUCAAAUCACAUAAUUAUUUUUAGUUCAGAAACAGAAAUGUUUGAAGUACAGGUAUUAGCCUAGUUGAGCAAUUAUUUUGAACAGCAUCCUAUGAUAUUGAUGCUGUUGCUAACAAAAUUGUCGUUAGCGAAAGUUCAUAUCUGGCAAACCAACCAUUUGACAUUAGUUAGUUUGGCUUCAGUGAAUCAUUCAUAACUUGUGAAGCACUUCAUUUGCUGGAGGAAAGUACACUGGAGCUUUCUACCACCC